rnacentral:lncRNA from 1 species
AAAGACUCAAUUCUAGACCUAGAAAGUGAUUUGGACGAAAAUAGAACUUCAAAGACUCAAAAGACUUAAAAGAAACAAGUUUUGACUCUAAAAACAAGACUUAAAAGCAAGGAGUUUGGUUUUGACAAAUUUGGACUUUAAAACAUAAACUUUAAAAAUAAACUUAACAAAAACGAUUUUGGAUGAAAAAGAAUGGUGAAAGGCUAGUUAGAGGG